CCUUCGGGUUGUAAAGCCCUUUUGUUGGGAAAGAAAUCCAGCUGGCUAAUACCCGGUUGGGAUGACGGUACCCAAAGAAUAAGCACCGGCUAACUUCGUGCCAGCAGCCGCGGUAAUACGAAGGGUGCAAGCGUUACUCGGAAUUACUGGGCGUAAAGCGUGCGUAGGUGGUCGUUUAAGUCCGUUGUGAAAGCCCUGGGCUCAACCUGGGAACUGCAGUGGAUACUGGGCGACUAGAGUGUGGUANAGGGUAGCGGAAUUCCUGGUGUAGCAGUGAAAUGCGUAGAGAUCAGGAGGAACAUCCAUGGCGAAGGCAGCUACCUGGACCAACACUGACACUGAGGCACGAAAGCGUGGGGAGCAAACAGGAUUAGAUACCCUGGUAGUCCACGCCCUAAACGAUGCGAACUGGAUGUUGGGUGCAAUUUGGCACGCAGUAUCGAAGCUAACGCGUUAAGUUCGCCGCCUGGNGAGUACGGUCGCAAGA
rnacentral:rRNA from 1 species